UACGUAGGGUGCAAGCGUUGUCCGGAAUUAUUGGGCGUAAAGAGCGUGUAGGCGGCCCGAUUAGUCCGCUGUGAAAGUCCAGGGCUCAACCCUGGAAUGCCGGUGGAUACUGUCGGGCUAGAGUCCGGAAGGGGCGAGUGGAAUUCCUGGUGUAGCGGUGGAAUGCGUAGAGAUCCGGAAGAACACCGGUGGCGAAGGCGGCCUGCUGGGCAGUUGCUGACACUGAGGCGCGACAGCGUGGGGAGCAAACAGG
rnacentral:rRNA from 1 species